AGUGAACGCUGGCGGCGUGCUUAACACAUGCAAGUCGAACGAGAACGGGUUAUAGCUUGCUAUAAUUGUCAGCUAAGUGGCGCACGGGUGAGUAAUGUAUAGGUAAUAUGCCUCUUACUAAGGGAUAACAAAUGGAAACGUUUGCUAAUACCUUAUACUCCUUAUUAACAGAAGUUAAUAAGGGAAAGAUUUAUUGGUAAGAGAUUAGCCUGUAUUGUAUCAGUUAGUUGGUGGGGUAAUGGCUUACCAAGACUAUGACACAUAACUGGUUUGAGAGGAUGAUCAGUCACACUGGAACUGAGACACGGUCCAGACUCCUACGGGAGGCAGCAGUGGGGAAUAUUGCACAAUGGACGAAAGUCUGACGCAGCGACGCCGCGUGGGGGAUGAAGGUUUUCGGAUUGUAAACCCCUUUCAUGAGGAAAGAUAAAGUGGGUAACCACUUAGACGGUACCUCAAGAAGAAGCCACGGCUAACUUCGUGCCAGCAGCCGCGGUAAUGU
rnacentral:rRNA from 1 species